GACGAACGCUGGCGGCGUGCUUAACACAUGCAAGUCGAACGAUGAAGCUAGAGCUUGCUCUGGUGAAUUAGUGGCGAACGGGUGAGUAACACGUGAGUAACCUGCCCCGAACUCUGGGAUAACUGCUGGAAACGGUAGCUAAUACUGGAUACGACCUACGAAGGCAUCUUCUGUAGGUGGAAAGAAUUUCGGUUCGGGAUGGACUCGCGGCCUAUCAGCUUGUUGGUGAGGUAAUGGCUCACUAAGGCGACGACGGGUAGCCGGCCUGAGAGGGUGACCGGCCACACUGGGACUGAGACACGGCCCAGACUCCUACGGGAGGCAGCAGUGGGGAAUACUGCACAAUGGGCGCAAGCCUGAUGCAGCAACGCCGCGUGAGGGAUGACGGCCUUCGGGUUGUAAACCUCUUUUAGUAGGGAAGAAGCGAAAGUGACGGUACCUGCAGAAAAAGCACCGGCUAACUACGUGCCAGCAGCCGCGGUAA
rnacentral:rRNA from 1 species